UACGAAGGGGGCUAGCGUUGUUCGGAAUCACUGGGCGUAAAGGGCGCGUAGGCGGCUUGACAAGUCAGGUGUGAAAGCCCCGGGCUCAACCCGGGAAUUGCACUUGAUACUGUCUGGCUAGAGUCCGGAGAGGAUGGCGGAAUUCCCAGUGUAGAGGUGAAAUUCGUAGAUAUUGGGAAGAACACCGGUGGCGAAGGCGGCCAUCUGGACCGGUACUGACGCUGAGACGCGAAAGCGUGGGGAGCGAACGAGG
rnacentral:rRNA from 1 species